AUGAGUAGUAUCACUCUAUCCAUCUGCUUGUGGAAUGUAAGAGGACUAGGCGAUGAAUCAAAAUGUGAUGAUAUCCUUUCCGAACUAAUCAGUAUCAACCCUCAUUGUGCCCUCUUACAAGAGUCAAAAUUAAACGACAUUAACGACCAAAAAUUCAACUCCUUCCUGCCACGAUCUCUGGACCAAAGAAUCUUCCUACCUGCGGACGGCUCGGGCGGCGGAAUGAUUUCCGCCUUUAACAAAAACUUUUUCUCUCUAAUCUCCUACUCUUAUCAUCAGUACGCCACAUCCAUCAAAAUCACGUCACUCGCUCACCCCCUUCCCUUUGUCAUCACAAACAUCUAUGCACCUUCACGUCGCAACCUCAAACAGGCCUUCCUAGACGAGCUCAAACUAAUCAAGGAAGAUGACCAAAUUCCUUGGCUGAUUGUAGGAGAUUUCAACCUGGUACGUUUUUCCCAUGAAAAAAAUAACCGCAACUUCCGCCAACGGGAAGCUGAUGCCUUCAACUCCACGAUCAACGACCUAGCAUUAAUCGAACUACCCCUACUAGAUAGAUGCUUUACCUGGACCAAUAAACGAGCUUCACCAACCCUAGAACGACUAGACCGUGCUUUUUUCAACCUGGCCUGGAAUAAUUGCUUCCCCAAUACAACUCUGUCAUCUCUACCACGGAUCACAUCUGAUCAC
rnacentral:rRNA from 1 species